rnacentral:rRNA from 1 species
CCUACGGGGCGCAGCAGUGAGGAAUAUUGGUCAAUGGACGCAAGUCUGAACCAGCCAUGCCGCGUGCAGGACGACGGCUCUAUGCGUUGUAAACUUCUUUUGUACGGGGGUAAACGCAGGUACGCGUGUCUGUCUGAGAGUAUCGUACGAAUAAGGAUCGGCUAACUCCGUGCCAGCAGCCGCGGUAAUACGGAGGAUUCAAGCGUUAUCCGGAUUUAUUGGGGUUAAAGGGUGCGUAGGCGGUCGGAUAAGUUAGAGGUGAAAUCCCGAGGCUCAACUUCGGAAUUGCCUUUGAUACUGGUGGGCUAGAGAGGAGGUGAGGUAGGCGGAAUGUAUGGUGUAGCGGUGAAAUGCUUAGAGAUCAUACAGAACACCGAUUGCGAAGGCAGCUGACCAAGGUACUUCUGACGCUGAGGCACGAAAGCGUGGGGAGCAAACAGGAUUAGAUACCCUAGUAGUC